GAUCGAAUGACAAGAAAAAUGAGCUUUUCGAGCACACCUUAACCCAAUCGAUCAGUCGCCACUUGAGAGUAUGUUCUUCAAGUACUCGACUCUCAUUACCGCCUUCGUUCGACCGAAGCCUGUUUAC
ensembl:ncRNA K02A11.5 ncRNA